CCAUCGUCAGUGAUAUCGAAUCCAUUGCUAAAGAGUCUCUAAAAUCUUGGGAAGGAAGAGUUGUAAACACUUUCCAAGAAAUGAAAACAUACACAUUCAACGUUGCAUUACUUUCUAUAUUUGGAAAGGAUGAGUUCCUAUACAGAGAAGAUCUGAAGAGAUGUUACUACAUUCUUGAGAAAGGAUACAAUUCAAUGCCCAUUAACCUGC
rnacentral:misc_RNA from 1 species